UACGGGGGGGGCAAGCGUUGUUCGGAAUUACUGGGCGUAAAGGGCUCGUAGGUGGCCAACUAAGUCAGACGUGAAAUCCCUCGGCUUAACCGGGGAACUGCGUCUGAUACUGGAUGGCUUGAGUUCGGGAGAGGGAUGCGGAAUUCCAGGUGUAGCGGUGAAAUGCGUAGAUAUCUGGAGGAACACCGGUGGCGAAGGCGGGUCUCUGGACAGUUCCUGACGCUGAGGCACGAAGGUCAGGGGAGCAAACGGG
rnacentral:rRNA from 1 species